rnacentral:rRNA from 1 species
UACGUAGGGGGCGAGCGUUGUCCGGAUUUAUUGGGCGUAAAGAGCUCGUAGGCGGUUUGGUACGUUGGAUGUGAAAUCUCCAGGCUCAACUUGGAGGGGUCAUUCGAUACUGCCAUGACUAGAGUUCGGUAGGGGAGUGUGGAAUUCCUGGUGGAGCGGUGAAAUGCGCAGAUAUCAGGAGGAACACCCGUAGCGAAGGCGGCACUCUGGGCCGGAACUGACGCUGAGGAGCGAAAGCGUGGGGAGCGAACAGG